rnacentral:misc_RNA from 1 species
CACCUCAAUCCCAAUCACACGACCCCCGCACUCCUGCUGUGGUGACGGGUCCCUGCGAAAGGCUCCACUUCCUGCCCCCUCCCCCACCACCCCUCUCUCGCUCGAUCCGUGCGGAGGAAUUAUCCUCUCGAAACGUGAACUCUGCGUGGUGUGUUGGCGCGCGCCACCGACACGGCCUGGAAGAGAAAAAGGCGCAGAGCCGGAACGCUGCACGUGUGGGAAGGUGACGAUCGCUGUGUGCCUUCAUCUCUCUUCCCUUAGCUUUUAGCCCAUGUCGCGCUUCUACACGGCCAAGGAGGUGCGAGAGCACGCCUUUCACGACGACGCAUACGUCUCACUGAAUGGCAAAGUGCUCGACCUCACACCGCUCAUCGCCGCCUACAAGGAAAUGCCGAAGUUUGCACACCUCACGAAGCCGCUGGUGCAGGUGGCCGGCACCGACAUCUCGCACUGGUGGGAUGCUGAGGCCAACGACCUGCGGUCGUGUGUAGAUCCGAACAGCGGCAUGCGCACUUACGCGAUGCCGCUGGGCCGGGUGCCACACAUGCCUACUAUCUACCCCGACUCCAACAUUGACCUCAACUACGACGUUCCGUGGUGGAAAGACCCGCAGUAUAUCAUCGGAGCCCUGACGAGCCGCACGCGUCGCAUUCGCAUUGUGAAUACGCUCACCGGUGACGAGACGACGCUGGAGGUGUGCGCGGAGGAAACCCUAGAGGAGCUCCUACGUGAGCGCUACCUCUCCAUUAACGCGCACGCGCGCAGUUAUACGUGGGUGCGGCUAGACCCCGACCCGCGCGAGCUCGACAUGUCCCGCACACUCGAGGACAACGGCAUCCAUGACGAGGCGGACUCCUUCGAAGACUUGGGACUGAACGCAGACUACUACAUCCCCGCCAUUCACCUGUACUAUAACGAUGACCUGACGGAGGCAUAAAAUGCCACCGCAGCCGCAGCAGUUGCUACAGAGGCAGUGAUGGCGAAGAGGGAAGAAUGACCCCCCUCCUCCUCCCUCCCCGUCAGUCCGCACGUGUGUCUGCAUGAGGGGAGGCCUUCUGCCAUCAGUCCAAGGGAAGUGCUGGGGACGGCAGUCGGUGACGUGGCAGAAUGCGAUCACUUCGAUGUACACUACUACUGGCAAGCCAUGGGGUUGUGCUGUUGCGCUCAUGUGCGUGUGUCUGUGCGCUCGUGAAGGGCGCGUGUCUUUGUUUAUCCAUCAUAUAUACCUGCAGCUCAUUGUACGAGUCACUCGGUGCGCUUGUAUGUCUUCAUCGGCGUCUGUGUGUUAGGGGGGGAGGCUGGAUAUUGAGCGGCAUGCACACUUCAACCCCCCCCCCGUCCUCUUCUACCUCCCCCCCCGGUGUCCAUCGAGAAGGCGAGGCCGCGGAGUGUCGAGCGCCGCCAAGUGUGACGGAACCCCCCCCCUUCCACCCAACACACACACGUACACGUACGCACACAUACCUUUGCGCCAAGUAGAACGCGAAAGAAAAAAAAAGAGGGAAAACGAGGACGUGAGCAGGGCAGCCACUGCUUGUAUCCCCCCACCCCACCCGCCUUCCCUGCCUUCUCCCUACGCAGACAGCGCCGGCGGGAAGAGAAGUUGGUGCCGACAGGGUGCAA